GAUUCAUACGCCAAAUAAAGAAGGGAGUCAUCAGUUUAAAAAUAUACCAGAACAUCACAUGGUUAUUGGUCUAAUUCAUUUCAAAUCACGCCAAAAUUCCGCUCGAAUUGCCUCUUUGUGGUAUUCUAUUGCCGGAGGUAAAUUUUUGAAACCGGAAGUGGCUCGUGGAGAGCUCAAACGCCGGCGAUACAAAAAGAACAAAAAUAUCAACGAUGAUGGUAUCGACACUUUAUACUCUCUGGUUCGUACAUCUCUCUUUUAUACAUAACUAUAUUGUUGAUUUUUGAAGCAUCCUUGCCAAAAUUGAACCGAUCUAAUGUACUUUUGUCAUAAAUUCACCCGGGUGGAAUCCCAUUUGUCAAAGUACCUCUAGCUCCAGAAGAGGAUUUCCUCUUCGAUAAUUGGAAAUCAGCAACGCGACAAAAUUUCUUGACUGCUCCCAUGGGGCGUGAUUUGCUGAGCCAAUGGCAAGCUUUAGAGGUAUUCAUUAGGAAAGUGACUCAAGUCAUCGAUGCAGUAGACAUAGAAACAGGGACUUAUGGACAGCUUUCAAGAAACCUACUGGUACGGGAUUUAAAGCGCAAACGGGAUCCUUCGUUUGGAAAUGUAGAUUGGCUAGAUGAAAAAUAUAAGAUACCGGAAUAUUUUUGGAAAACGGUCUCCUUGCAAUUUUUUUCCAACAAGCGACAGUACAAUUAUGGAAUCUUGUUCGUAAUGCACAAUGUGGUCAAGCUGGAUUCUAAUACGGGAUGGGAUAUUGAGAAAAUCUGCUCGGAUUAUGAUAUCGUUAAUUUAGGAUGGGAAUUUUCACAAGAUAACCAACCUCAGAGUACCAUCUACGGUUGCAAGUACAGUGAAAUUUCAUAUUUCGACGCAAUGAUUGAUGAGGAAGAAGAGUUCAAAGAUUUUAAUUUAAACUCGCUGUCUGUUUUGCAAUUUGAUGAUGAUGGUAAUGCCGAAGUCAAAGAAGUAAAUGUUGUGGAGGAAAUUGGAAAGUUGGCGAUGACUGAGCACUAAGAUUUUUCUGAAUGAUGAUUCGAUUAUUGGAACUUUUCAUUUUAUCGAUCCUCUUUCUCACAAACUCUAAUUUUUCGCUCCUAUAGUGGGCUUUAGCCUUUUAUUUUGUAUGAAUUUUUUGUGUUAUUUUCCGAUGUGAAUUGUCUUUUAAUGUUCGAGAAG